UACGUAGGGUGCAAGCGUUGUCCGGAAUUAUUGGGCGUAAAGAGCUCGUAGGCGGUCAGUCGCGUCUGCUGUGAAAACUCGGGGCUUAACUCCGGGCCUGCAGUGGGUACGGGCUGACUAGAGUGCGGUAGGGGAGACUGGAAUUCCUGGUGUAGCGGUGAAAUGCGCAGAUAUCAGGAGGAACACCGGUGGCGAAGGCGGGUCUCUGGGCAGUAACUGACGCUGAGGAGCGAAAGCAUGGGGAGCGAACAGG
rnacentral:rRNA from 1 species